rnacentral:rRNA from 1 species
UACGUAGGGUGCAAGCGUUUAAUCGGAAUUACUGGGCGUAAAGCGUGCGCAGGCGGUGAUGUAAGACAGAUGUGAAAUCCCCGGGCUCAACCUGGGAACUGCAUUUGUGACUGCAUCGCUGGAGUGCGGCAGAGGGGGGAUGGAAUUCCGCGUGUAGCAGUGAAAUGCGUAGAUAUGCGGAGGAACACCGAUGGCGAAGGCAAUCCCCCUGGGCCUGCACUGACGCUCAUGCACGAAAGCGUGGGGAGCAAACAGG